ensembl:lncRNA
GAUCACUGUGUGUGUUGUCUGUCUUUGUAGGCUAUUGAGUGAGUCAUAUACCCUUACCUGCAAGCUGUCCUGGAUGACUACUCUGUCUCCAAUGCCCAGGUGAAAGCAGACAGACACAAGUCUAUGGAGCAAUCCUGCAGAGGGGUCGACAGCACCCAGCCACGCUUCGGGAGUGUGAUUUCCGCCGGGCUCAGCCUCUCUCCGAGGCCACGCUGGGCAUCGUCAGUCCCCUGCAGGGACCUGGGGGAGCUGGAACCCCCUGGAAUGACUGGACCACAUCCCCCUGCCCGCCAUGUACUGUGAGCAGUUUGUUUUGUUCGUAGAAACAAGCAGCGUUGGUUCCCUGUUCCUUGCGCCUGUUUUCUAGUUUCCCGGUUCUGACCGUUCUGCCUGACCUGACACUGAGCCUGCCUGCUGUCCUGUACCUUCCAUCCUCUCUGGAUUAUUGACCCCUGCCUGCCUUGACCUGUCGUUUGCCUGCCUCGUCUUGACGUUUGCCUGCCCCUGUUUAAGGAAUACACUUGUUUCUUCAACAUUG